CAUUCAUUAAACACUUCCCUCGUCCGAGCUCACUCUGAUCUUAGGUGAUUUCCACAAACCAUCUCCGCCGCGCCAGAAAUCGCCUCCGACGGCGGUGAAGGCUUAAUCACCAUCAAUUAUACUUCAUCCUAACUAUCUCCCUCUUCUUUAUCCAAGCCCUGAGUCAAUUCUCUCAAACUCUCACUCACGACUACGAAUCGAAGCAAAACACGCAGGAACCCUAACUAUCAGUUCGAUAAUUACAUGUCACAGAGACAACAUUGGGAUCCCCAGCCAUGGGGGUUUAGCUCCCCACGCACCAAACUACAUCACGACAGACGGGUUAGCACGAAACAAGGGAGAAACGAAGGCUUAACUCUGUGAAUCAUGCAAAAUAGUUAGUUGCUUUGCUUUGAAGUUAAGUGGAAAUGUGCUAUUGGAUUUGAUGAUGACAUGCUGAACUGGGCUAGUAUCAAAAUUUGUUGAGUGUGAGAAUUAUAUGAAGAUGGAUAUGGAGUAUAUAUAGGGUAAUGUUUUUGUGUUAUGUUUCUAUGUUAUUUUUCUUGGAUUCCUAGUUAGUGUGUAGGUGCAAAUUGUGCAGAGCAAAAAUUGUGCAGAGCAAAAAUUGUGCAAAUUGUGCAGAGCAAAAAUUGUGCAUUGUGCAAAUUGUGCAGAGCAAAAAUUGUGCAUUGUGCAAAUUGUGCAGAGCAAAAAUUGUGCAAAUUGUGCAGAGCAAAAAUUGUGCAAAUUGUGUAGAGCAAAAAUUGUGCAGAGCAAAUGCAGAAGGAAACAAAGCAGGGUCCAAAUAAGAGCAAGCUUAAGCUGACUUGGAAAAAGAAUACAAAGAAUCUUCCCAUUUUAAUAGUGAAGACAAAAAAAACAUAAGCAUGUGAUUUGGAUUUGGUAUUCAUGUGCCAUUUUCAAAACAGCAUUCUCAGAUAUCUAAUUUAUAUAUUGAAUACAAUGUACUACAACAAUGUAUUAUUCCCACCUUACAAUAAUAUAUUUUAUUAAUUUGAUUUUUAUUUGAUUAA